CUUGCUCCAUGACAUCCAGGAAUUACACCCACCGUCUGUAAAGGUUUCGCCACAGUAGCUAAACCUUUACAGCAAUGAGUGAACUGGCACGACUUCAAUAUCAGCUGAAAUCUCAAAGCUCAGAGGUCUAUUAUUCAUUAGGUCUCCUCAGUUGCAAAUUGGUCUCUUUGCUGAAGUGUUCCCCACAUGCCCAGACAGGCACCAGACAGCUAUACUCACACAUUUUCCACAGUCCUCUGAGCACACGGAUGAGUCGUCUCAUAUCAAAGCCACCAGCAAUUUACAAAGUGUAUCUCUUAGACCUCUCCAGAGAGUAAAGCAUAGUCAUACUCUUACAACGUGACCCAAUGCAACAUGAUAAGUCUUAAGUGUGUGACUAAAUUACUUGAAGUGAGAGAUGCUUAGAGUGUAGACAUCAGUAAUGUUUGGUUUGUUUAUUUAGUCUGAAGGCACCAAAAGACAAGUACCAUGAUUGUAUGUGUCUUACCGCUUCUUAAGUUUUACUCUCUGUCUCUCCGUCUCAAUAUCUGUGUUUUUUAUUUCAAUUAAAUCUUUCUGCCAGCAAAUCGCAACGCCAUCCUCCCACUGCUGCCACCCCUUUUUGCAACCUAUCCACAAAUCAGAUAUGAGAUUUCUUUGUUGAAGACUGUGUCAGCGAGAGGGAGGAGGAGGGAUGCCGUGAUCCCAGGGAUGGCUACAACAUGUGCUGUGGCAACCACGUGCAGCUCAGCUUCAGAAAGACCAGGGGACCGGCCGUGGAUUCCCAAAACACGCACACGCCACUGACACCGACCGUCGUCAUCCGGGAUGAUGGAGUUUGAGAGGACGCAGCACGAGAGUGAGGCAGACGGGGAGGCUGCUCUGACACCGUGCUGAGUCUGGAAACAUCCACAGCACAGAGGGGAGGAGGGGGACUCAAGUAAAGUGCAGCGCGGCUUGCUUUAUUUCUUUUGUGCCCGGCGGAUUGUGCAACACUUCCUGUGCAGAGUGAAAAGCUGCAGAACAUCUGCAGUGGAGGUAAAAAACCAGCAGAGAUGAGUAAUGCUAUGAAGCAUUCGAUACAUUUUGUAUUUUAUCUUCUCUGAUUAAUAGAGCAUUGUUUUGUAAUGAAUAAAGUGUGAAACAUCACGCA